AAAAAAACCCUUGAUUUUUAAUAGCUUUAUAGCAUUACAUCAUCUGUGCAUGCUAUACCUUCUUUAAACACUUCAUUUUUGGAUAUUUACGGUAUUUCCUUCCUUUCUUUUCCUUUUUUAUUUUUAAUUUUUGUCCAUAUAAAUAGCAUUUAGAUAAACACCCUUACACACCUCUUUGUUCAUUUUGCUGGUUAUUUUUCUCAGGCUUCCAGAGCUACAGUCACUGCAUCAGAGGGUAGAGAUCCUCAACUUCUGCUAAUCUGUGCUACGGAAUUAUUUUUCAGGACUUGUACCAAUCUUCUCUCCCAUGGUAAUAAAUAUCACUAAUUUGGCUUGGUUUUUACUUCUAUGAGUGUUUGGCGAAGCUGACGGUUGCUGGUGUAUGGUGGUCAGUCAAGGUUUCUGUGGCGAACCUGCAUUCUUCACUUAUCCAGCCUCCCAGACUGCUUUGCCGCCACUUGCCCCUCCCGGGUUCCGCAAUCCAGCCUUCCCGAAGGAACACUUCCUCCCCAGCUGGCUCAUGGUGUUUCUGGCCUGGUGAGUCACUUUGGCUUCUACCCAUAUCCCAUUUCCAGGUGUUACUCCCUUAUUAUGGUAAUCGUGAAGAAAAGCGACCAGGCAUUGGCACUCAUGCACCAGACACCAGGGUAGGCAGGGCUCAUCGAAGCUCUGUGACAACUCUGAGAAGUAUUGUAUCCGCAUUUCACAGCGAAGGAAAUGUAGAUUCGGAGAGGUCCGCUUCCCCAAGGACAGUAGCAGAAGUUGGUCUGGGCACUUAAGCCACUGUCUUUGCAGCCCCUGGGUCUUCUGGCCCCAUUUUAUCCAAGUGAGGAGACCGAGCCUAUUAUUUACUGAGGCAAGCUUAUUCACCCCAGACUCAGGAGGUAGGAGAAGCUAACAUGUGAACAUCUCCAACACCCUGCCCUGCCCCCACUGGGCCUGGAUGCCAUCCUCCCUUGCCACUGAAACACAGACUUGCCCUCUUGACACUUCGAAGGAACCUGUGAGAAUGUGCCUUGACCAGGGCUUCUGGCGGUUUCCUCUCCUGUAGUACUUAUGUAGAUGUAGCCUCCUCCAGGAAGCCUUCCCUGAACACCCCUAGUCCAAAUACAGACUAAGGAUGCCUCUCUUUUUGCUUCUUGCCCCUCCAAUCCUCACAGGGCAAAGGCCAGGUCCUGCCUCUCAGGUCUCUGCAACCAGCUUGGUAGUAGGCCCAGAAUAGUACUUAAGCGUUUGCAGAAUGAAUGCUUGACUCUCAGCGCUGUGGUUGGCUCUGUCCCGAGGGUACAGCGUGGGUGUGCCAGGACCAGCAGGUAGUGGCAGAAAUGUGGCUUCCUGCGUGCCCCAUUAGGAGGGCAUGCUGGGCCAAGGCUCUGGGCCAUCCGGGCUCAGGGCGCUGGUGACAUAGUCAUGGUGUCCUUCUUGCUGAAGCAAACUCCCGCUUCUGUUUUCUCACUCGAGUCAGAAAUUAAUCAUGUCUGAGUGACUGAAGUCAUUGCUCACAGCACCGGGAGCCGGUGCAGGGUGGGGCGAGGGGCAGUGGCCUUGGGGCUGAAGUCUCCCAGGCCCAGGCCGCCCCGCUGGGGGAGGGGCGAGGCGUGGCAGGUCCUGUCCCGGGGACGCGGCAGCCGCGGGGGGUGGGGUGGGGUGUGGGGGGAGACAAUGGGGCUCCGCAGCUGCUCCUCGCGGGGAGAAGGGACCCUCCAGCGAGGAGCCUGGCGAGCAGGGGAGUGUGGGAGGAAUUGAUGAGGAGAGGGGCGGAGCCAAGGAGAUGCCGCCGGGAGGAAGGAAGGGAAGGGGAAGGAAGAGAGGAGGGAGGGGAGAGGAUCAGGCUUUCCUCCUCCUCCUCCUCCUCCUCCUCGGUGACCUGAUCUAGCGCCGGGCCUGGUUCGCAUUGUUCCCAGCGGAAACUCUCGGGGGAGGGGGGUCACCAGGACCUCGCCCCCCUCCGCCCCGCAAGCUGCAGCCUCAGGCUCCGGCCCAGGCAUCCAGCAGGUGCUCAACCCUUACUUGGGAAAAUGAGAAAUGUGACCAACUUUGCUCUGGGAACUUUUCCCCUGGCUUCUCCCCACUCCUGCGGAGAAGCCGAGCAAGGAGCAGGUCUUGGGAGCCCGCCCGGGCGCCCCAGGAAUAACUGACCCUUCGUGGCGCCGCGGGAGCGGCCUCGCGUCCGAGUUCACCGCGCCGGGGGUCGGAGGCCGGCUGCCGGCUGUCCGGCCCGCCCCGGAGCUGGGGGGCGGCCCU
rnacentral:lncRNA from 1 species